UACGAAGGGGGCUAGCGUUGUUCGGAAUCACUGGGCGUAAAGGGCGCGUAGGCGGCUUGAUAAGUCGGGGGUGAAAGCCUGUGGCUCAACCACAGAAUUGCCUUCGAUACUGUCGAGCUUGAGACCGGAAGAGGUAAGUGGAACUGCGAGUGUAGAGGUGAAAUUCGUAGAUAUUCGCAAGAACACCAGUGGCGAAGGCGGACUUACUGGUCCGGUUCUGACGCUGAGGCGGCG
rnacentral:rRNA from 1 species